UAUGUGGUUUAAUUCGAUGCAACGCGAAGAACCUUACCUGGUCUUGACAUCCCGGAGACCCUUAGGAAACUAGGGGUGCUUCCAUCUGGAAGAAUCUGGAGACAGGUGCUGCAUGGCUGUCGUCAGCUCGUGUCGUGAGAUGUUGGGUUAAGUCCCGCAACGAGCGCAACCCUUGCCUUUAGUUGCCAGCAGUUCGGCUGGGCACUCUAAAGGGACUGCCGGUGUUAAACCGGAGGAAGGUGGGGAUGACGUCAAGUCCUCAUGGCCUAUAUGACCAGGGCUACACACGUACUACAAUGGCCGAUACAAAGGGCAGCGACACUGCGAGGUGAAGCCAAUCCCGUAAAAUCGGUCUCAGUCCGGAUUGGAGUCUGCAACUCGACUCCAUGAAGUUGGAAUCGCUAGUAAUCGUGGAUCAGCAUGCCACGGUGAAUACGUUCCCGGGCCUU
rnacentral:rRNA from 1 species